rfam:Fischerella sp. JSC-11 ctg100, whole genome shotgun sequence.
CCUGGUGUCUAUGGCGCUGUGGAACCACUCUGAACCCUUCCCGAACUCAGUUGUGAAACGCUGCUGCGGCGACGAUAGUUGGAGGGACACCUCCUGCAAAAAUAGCUCGAUGCCAGGA